UCAGACACAAAGUCAAGUCCACCAUCAUCCCUGUGUGUUCCUCUGGAUGUGACAGAGGAUCAUCAGUGGAUCUGGACUGCUCUGCUGCUGCUCUGUCCUUCUACACAGUCUCUGCAGACACACUGAGACUCCUCCACUCCUUCUGCUGCACACUCAGACACCUCCUCCACCUGGACCCGGACUUUCUGAACCCAAAGUGCCUCUGAAGAUUAACACUUUUCUAAAUUGAUUCUUCUGUUUUGCUUUCUGUUGCAGCUUCACCUUGUGAAUUGAUGGAGAAUUGCAGUUAAUUUCCACAUUAUAUUUCUCACAUUUUGGAAGUUGAUGUGAAAAAUCAGCAUCCAGCCUGCAUGCAUAAAGUUCCCUCUCUGAAGUUCUGCUUAUUACCACCAACACCAGACUGUUUUCUCAGUUUAACAGAUAAUUGUUUGUAACUCAGAGAAACAAGAAGACAAGAAUGUGGAGUAGAGGAGUCAGUCAAACAUGUCAUCAUGCACUGUCCAAGAUAUGAUGAGGAAAGGAGACGGUUAUUCAUGGGUCUAAACGACCUGGGAGUUGAACUACUGUCUUUAAAAACUCUGAUGGGUGAAGGUCCUAAUCAAGAAGAGAGACCAUAGGAACUAAUUCAAUUCCUAAAAUCUGCGGGCCUGUAUUGGAAAAUAUAGGCCAGGAGGAGCCUUAAUGUAGAUUGUCUCUAUCACCAGUGGGAGGCAGCAAUGCACUAACAGUGCCUAGUCUGCCGGAAAGGAACAGAAGAAGAAGAAGAAGAAGACAACACCUGGGCUGCGGUCGAAAAGUCAAAAAAAUCUCCUUUCCUAACCUCCUUUCCUUGACCUCGUUGGAAAACGUCAUGUGGUCAAGGAAAGAUGUAAAGGAGAAUCCAUAAGAGCUUAGGAAAAGAGGACCGCGGGGCUCAGAGAAUCCGACUGCUCUUUUCUAAGCAAUGUAAUUAUGUGACGGUGGAUGGUACUGACGUGGCAUUGAUAAAACUACAAUAUUCCGAAGAUGGACGACAAAAAGCGCAUCUUUGACACUGCGGCCCAUGUUGUUGUAAUGCAGGCCGUCUGAAGGUGGACAACACGGUGGAAUAUAUUACUAGCAAAAAGGCAGAUAAGAUGAUUAUGUUGCUUACCUGCACUUUGACACUGUUAGGAAUCUCCUUUUCCCCUGCCCUGUGACCAUUGAUUGUUGUAUCUUCAUGAGCCAUCUCAGAGGUGGUUCCUCCUGUUCCUGUUUUAGACCACUGCUGUUUUGCCUACUUAGUUUAUUUAUUUUCCUGUUUUGCUUAUUUGCUGUUUUGUCCCCCCUUUACUUAGUACAGUUUGUCCUUGUUAGCCAACUAGAUUACUUGGUUGGUUUGUUACUUUAUGUUAAUUUGUUUCUUUUGUAUUCAGUUUAUAUUUUGAGCAGGGUGCCAUCUUGUUGGGAGGCUAGGCACCCGUGGCAAGGUACCUUCACUUUUCUGCAUGUGAGUAAUUGCACGGGGGCACUAUAUAGACUGCACAAUUUUGGGCGGCUGUGGCUCAGGAGGUAGAGCGGGUUGGCCGUUAAUCAAUUCAAUUCAAUUCAAUUCAAUUUUAUUUAUAUAGCGCCAAAUCACAACAACAGUUAUCUCAAAGCGCUUUU